AACAAACGCUGGCGGCGUGCCUAAUACAUGCAAGUCGAACGGGGAAAGCUUUCGGGUGAGUACUAGUGGCGCACGGGUGAGUAACGCGUGGAUAAUCUGCCUUAGAGUGGGGGAUAACUAGUCGAAAGAUUAGCUAAUACCGCAUAAGACCACAAGAACUGCGGUUCAAGGGGUCAAAGGUUUUUCGCUUUAAGAUGAGUCCGCGUAAGAUUAGCUAGUUGGUGAGGUAACGGCUCACCAAGGCGACGAUCUUUAACUGGUCUGAGAGGAUGAUCAGUCACACUGGAACUGAGACACGGUCCAGACUCCUACGGGAGGCAGCAGUAGGGAAUAUUGCACAAUGGAGGAAACUCUGAUGCAGCGACGCCGCGUGAGUGAUGAAGGCCUUCGGGUCGUAAAGCUCUGUCGCAGGGGAAUAACACAAUGAAUGUACCCUGUAAGAAAGGAUCGGCUAACUUCGUGCCAGCAGCCGCCGUAACAC
rnacentral:rRNA from 1 species